rnacentral:rRNA from 1 species
CAAAGAUUAAGCCAUGCAUGUCUAAGAACAUAUGUGUAAACAUGAAUCUGCGAACGGCUCAUUAUUAACACCCGUAAUCUACCCAGUUUUCAUAUCCAAAACGGAUAUCUGCGUUAAUUUUGGAGCUAAUACGUGCACCAACGUACCGCUAGCAAUAGUGGUAUGCACUUGUUAGUAUAAGGCCGACUGGGGCAACCCGAUUGGUGACUCUGAACAAUUUUUGCGGAUCGCAUGGUCUUGUACCGGCGACUUUCUGGUCGAGCGGGUGCCCUAUCAACUAUUGAUGGAAGUCUAUGUGUCUUCCAUGGUUGUAACGGGUAACGGAGAAUCAGGGUUCGACUCCGGAGAGCUAGCCUUAGAAACGGCUAUCACAUCCAAGGAAGGCAGCAGGCGCGUAAAUUACCCACUCUCAAUUCGAGGAGGUAGUGACUAUCAAUAACGAGACAGAUCUCUUUGAGGUCUGUCAUUGAAAUGAGCACAACUUAAAGACUUUAACGAAGUCUAUGGGAGGGCAAGUCUGGUGCCAGCAGCCGCGGUAAUUCCAGCUCCCAACGUGUAUAUCGUCAUUGCUGCGGUUAAAAAGCUCGUAGUUGGAUCUUAGCUUAUGACAGUAGUUCACCAUGUGUGAUACUGCGUGUCUGAGCUGUUUCGCCGGUUUUCCUUGGUUUCGGCCUUGGUGACUGGUGUUGUAACUUUGAUUAAAUCAAUGUGAUUAAAACAGGCGUUCGCUUGUAUGCUUUAUCAUGGAAUAAUAGAAUAUGACUUCGGUCCAUUCUGUUGGUCUUGGGAUCGAAGUAAUGAUUAAAAGGAACAACUCGGGGGCAUCCGUAUCGCUGCGUGAGAGGUGAAAUUCUUGGACCGCAGCGAGACGACCUAUUGCGAAAGCAUUUGCCAAGAAUGUUUUCAUUAAUCAAGAACGAAAGUCAGAGGAUCGAAGGCGAUUAGAUACCGCCCUAGUUCUGACCGUAAACUAUGCCAACUAGCGAUCAGGUGGUGGUAGUUUAGCCCUGCCUGGGAGCUUCUCGGAAACGAAAGUCUUCGGGUUCCGGGGGUAGUAUGGUUGCAAAUCUGAAACUUAAAGGAAUUGACGGAACGGCAC